UACGUAGGGGGCAAGCGUUGUCCGGAAUCAUUGGGCGUAAAGAGCGUGUAGGCGGCCCGGUAAGUCCGCUGUGAAAGUCCAGGGCUCAACCCUGGGAUGCCGGUGGAUACUGUCGGGCUCGAGUCCGGAAGAGGAGUGUGGAAUUCCUGGUGUAGCGGUGAAAUGCGCAGAUAUCAGGAGGACCACCACUGGCGAAUGCCGCACUCUGGGACGUGCCUGACGCUGAGACGCGUAAGCGUGGGGAGCAAACAGG
rnacentral:rRNA from 1 species